rnacentral:rRNA from 1 species
ACGAACGUUGGCGGCGUGCUUAACACAUGCAAGUCGAACGGAAAGGCCCUGCUUUUGUGGGGUGCUCGAGUGGCGAACGGGUGAGUAACACGUGAGUAACCUGCCCUUGACUUUGGGAUAACUUCAGGAAACUGGGGCUAAUACCGGAUAGGAGCUCCUGCUGCAUGGUGGGGGUUGGAAAGUUUCGGCGGUUGGGGAUGGACUCGCGGCUUAUCAGCUUGUUGGUGGGGUAGUGGCUUACCAAGGCUUUGACGGGUAGCUGGCCUGAGAGGGUGACCGGCCACAUUGGGACUGAGAUACGGCCCAGACUCCUACGGGAGGCAGCAGUGGGGAAUAUUGCACAAUGGGCGGAAGCCUGAUGCAGCAACGCCGCGUGCGGGAUGACGGCCUUCGGGUUGUAAACCGCUUUCGCCUGUGACGAAGCGUGAGUGACGGUAAUGGGUAAAGAAGCACCGGCUAACUACGUG